rnacentral:ncRNA from 1 species
UUUUAAGAGAGUUUGAUCCUAGCUCAGGAUGAACGCUGGCGGCGUGGAUAAGGCAUGCAAGUAGAACGCCGAGCACCACUUUGUUUCUAAUUUUCUCAGUUUAAAGUUCAGGUUUUAAUGAUCUAUUUUAAUGAGAAGUGAUUGGAGUUAAAGUGGUGCUCGGAGUUGCGAACGAGGUAGUAAUACAUAGGUACAAACCCCAGAGUCAGGAAUAACCUACCGAAAGGUAGGCUAAUACUUGAUGGUCCCGCAAGGGUAAAGAUUUAUCGCUUUGGGAUUGGCCUGUGCAGUAUCAGCUAGUUGGUAGGGUAAUGGCCUACCAAGGCAAUGACGCUUAGGAGAGCUGAGAGGCUGACCUCCACCGAUGGUACU